UACAGAGGUCCCGAGCGUUGUUCGGAUUCACUGGGCGUAAAGGGUGCGUAGGCGGCGCGGUAAGUCGGGUGUGAAAUCUCGGAGCUUAACUCCGAAACUGCAUUCGAUACUGCCGUGCUUGAGGACUGGAGAGGAGACUGGAAUUUACGGUGUAGCGGUGAAAUGCGUAGAUAUCGUAAGGAAGACCAGUGGCGAAGGCGGGUCUCUGGACAGUUCCUGACGCUGAGGCACGAAGGCCAGGGGAGCGAACGGG
rnacentral:rRNA from 1 species